UUGACUUUGUGAAGUAGUUUACCCUGCCGUAACAAGUGGUUUUCCAUUGCCGAUUGUUUUCAUGUUAUGACAAUUGCCUGUUUUUCUGGAUUUACUGCCUUUUGGCUACCAAAAGGGGUUACUAAGACCAGCUGAACAACCUAUGAGCUGCCAACGAAUGUUUGACACAAUACAUUCACUCACUGCCAGCUCCCCAUGCUAAACCGCAAAGCUCUCGAUUGGGCCGCCGCUGUUUGGGAUAAAGAUACUCAAAUCCAGGUUUCAUUUGAUUACUUCCUUCAACAAAUCCACGAAGUCUUUGAGUAUCCAGCAGGUGGCCAAGAUAUUUCUGUUCAGCUACUUCAUCUAUGCCAGGGUCAUCGAUCAGCAGUGGAUUAUGCAGUUCUGUUCAGGACACUAGCGGCUCAGAGUGGGUGGAAUGAUGUCGCUCUGAAGACUGUUUUCCGCGAAGGGCUUAACCUGAAACUCAGGACGGAACUGACCUGCAAGGGUGAAGUCUCAGUACAGGCCCAGGCAUCCACUGUAUCCCCCGAACCCACGCAAGUUGCCUACACUCGUGUUUUCAUGGAGGAACGCCAACGUCGAUGCAACGAAAACCUUUGCUUUUAUUGUGGCUUACCAGGUCAUCUCAAUGCUGCAUGCCCUUACAAGAAAUGAAGUUCUCCUGAGUCAAGGCAAAAUCUUUAGUGGAUUCUGGUGCUGCUGUUAGUCUCAUUAAUCAGGAGAUUGUACAAGAACUCAACCUAUGCACCAUUCAUUGCUCCCCAAUGAUUAACAUCACCACUGUUGACAACACUCCUAUUGGUACUGGCAUAACCCAACAGACUGUUCUGAUAACCAUCAAGGUUAACCAAUCUCACUAUCUGUCAUCAGCUUGCCCAAGCAUGCUCUUAUCCUGGGUCAUCCCAUGUGUCCUUGCUGAAACCCAUCCACCCGGCGUCUGGCGCUUGAACCACGGAUUCUGAGCCUCCACCUCCAUUGGAGGCGUAUAUGGUCGGAGAGAUCAUGGACCCAAGACGAUGAGGGAGCCAGAUGCAAUACUUGGUGGACUGGGAGGGCUAUGGACCAGAGGAGAGAUCAUGGGUAGCCGCCAAGGACAUAUUAGACCCAUCCCUGAUCCAAGAAUUUCAUCAUGCCCAUCCAGCACCACGACCAAGGGGACAUCCCAGUAGAAAGACACCAGGAGUUGUUCGUAGAGGGAGGGGGGGGUUUCUGUAAUAUCCAAGGUUGUUACCCCUCCUACCAACCACUAGAGGGAGCCCUCUCCUGAAUAUUAACUCUGUACCAUUUCUUCUUUGGUGACUUCCUGUUUAAACUAUAUAAAUACCAUGCUGUUCCAUUUUGACUUUGCGAAGUAUUGCCAGUUUACCCUGCCUUAACAAGCGUUAUUCCAUUGCCUUUGCUGAUUGUUUUCGUGUUAUGACCAUUGCCUGUUUUCCUGGAUUUACUGCCUUUUGGAUACCCCUUUGUUUUGUUUGCCUUGUUUGGCUGUCUUUUUGGUUUACUGGAUUAUACCACUUGCUUAACGACUACCUCUAUUUGCAUGCCGAUUUGGAUUUGU